GACGAACGCUGGCGGCGUGCUUAACACAUGCAAGUCGAACGGAAAGGCCCUGCUUUUGUGGGGUGCUCGAGUGGCGAACGGGUGAGUAACACGUGAGUAACCUGCCCUUGACUUUGGGAUAACUUCAGGAAACUGGGGCUCAUACCCGAUAGGAGCUCCUGCUGCAUGGUGGGGGUUGGAAAGUUUCGGCGGUUGGGGAUGGACUCGCGGCUUAUCAGCUUGUUUGUGGGGUAGUGGCUUACCAAGGCUUUGACGGGUAGCCGGCCUGAGAGGGUGACCGGCGACAUUGGGACUGAGAUACGGCCCAGACUCCUACGGGAGGCAGCAGUGGGGAAUAUUGCAGGAGGGGCGGAAGCCUGAUGCAGCAGCGCCGCGUGCGGGAUAACGGCCUUCGGGUUGUAAACCGCUUUCGCCUGUGACGAAGCGUGAGUGACGGUAAUGGGUAAAGAAGCACCGGCUAACUACGUG
rnacentral:rRNA from 1 species